GAGACUGAGACUUGGAGAGAUGAAAUCAACUGCCCAAGAUUAUAGCUGGGUCUCACCCGGGAUAACCACCACACAAUUAGUUAUGUCUCCUUGGACUCCUCUUCUCUGUGGCAGGUUCUCAGAACUUUCUUGUUUUGAAUGACCUGGACAAUUUUGGUCAGCAUACAUGGCUUUUGAUGAGAAGCAUGUUGUUAUUCUUU